AAAAAAAAAAAAAAAAAAAAAAAUUUCAUAAUUAGUGUUUAUUGAGUUCAACUGGUUACUAUCUGCAAGGAAUUCCAAAUGUGUAAUAGAGGUUAUACUUGGUAUAAUUGGUUUUGCUAAUAAAAUACUGAGCUGUAAAAUUUAUUAUAAUAAUAUAUUAAGAUAUAAAAUGUUGAAGCAGUUCUUACAUGCAUUUGAAAAUUAUUGUAGUCCUCCCCAAGAAAUUCCACAUGGAAACUUGAUAAGACUGGCUGUGGAUGAGUUAUUCUGUUCCAAGAUUGGACUCUGUGAAGAGCACGGGUACAAUAAAACCUUGGUUAACCGGAACCCAGCUAAUCGGGACCCUCAAAUAUCUGGAUUUUUUUCUACACUCCCCAUUUAGGAGAAAGAGGUGUGGUGGCUUAAGAGAAUUUUCCCAACGAGUUUUCUGCCAUGGGGCACCCCCUUUUGUUGUCUUAAAUAUGCAGCAUUGGAAAUCUGAAGAUCUGGCAUAUGUACCCUAUUACUUGGAUUUGUCUGACCACAAGUAGGUGUUUUUUGUUGUUGUUUCUUUAUAAAACUAAUAAAAAAAUUUUAUCCUAUUAUGGUUUUGACUAGCCCGUAAGUGAUAUUGUUGAAAACAAUCAUAUCUGUCUCUAAAUUUAUGUAUUCUGAAUAGAAUCAGAAUUUAUUAGAGGGAGUCAGUUACUAGCAGUGCACAUAGUGGGUAGGUAUGUGGACUAUAGAAUAAACAAUUGUAUUCAAAUCAUAGCCCCAUCUUUUAUAAAUUAACCUUGGGUCAACAACUUAACCAGUUUACAUGUCAGUUUUCUUAUCUAUAAAACAGAGAUGAUGGUAUCAACCUAGUGCAAUUAUUGUAAAGAUUUAAUAAGCACAUACUAAGUGUUUAAGAUAGUGCCUGACACAUAAUACUGGAUAGUAUAAUAAUAGCACAAUAUUUUAUUCCUGACACGUACUGGCUAAUAUUUGUAUUUCAAGUCAAAGAAGUGUGUAGUAGCCGGGCGUGGUGGCUCACGCCUGUAAUCCCAGCACUUUGGGAGGCCAAGGUGGGCAGAUCACAAGGUCAGGAGAUUGAGACCAGCCUGGCUAACAUGGUGAAACCUCGUCUCUACUAAAAAUACAAAAAAUUAGCCAGGCGUGGUGGUGGGCGCCUGUAGUCCCAGCUACUUGGGAGGCUGAGGCAGGAGAAUGGCGUGAACCUGGGAAGCAGAGCUUGCAGUAAGCCGAGAUCACCACUGCACUUCAGCCUGGGCGACAGAGUGAGACUCCAUCCCCCCCAAAAAAAAAAAAAAAGAAGUGUGUAAUAGUAUGCAGGUGGUCAUCAU
rnacentral:lncRNA from 1 species